rnacentral:rRNA from 1 species
UAAGGAAUAUUGGUCAAUGGACGGAAGUCUGAACCAGCCAUGCCGCGUGGAGGAUGAAGGCCCUCUGGGUUGUAAACUUCUUUUAUUUGGGACGAAACACUUUCUUUCUAGAGAGCUUGACGGUACCAGAUGAAUAAGCACCGGCUAACUCCGUGCCAGCAGCCGCGGUAAUACGGAGGGUGCAAGCGUUAUCCGGAUUCACUGGGUUUAAAGGGUGCGUAGGCGGACAUGUAAGUCCGUGGUGAAAUCUCUGGGCUUAACCCAGAAACUGCCAUGGAUACUAUAUGUCUUGAAUGUUGUGGAGGUUAGCGGAAUAUGUCAUGUAGCGGUGAAAUGCAUAGAUAUGACAUAGAACACCAAUUGCGAAGGCAGCUGGCUACACAAAUAUUGACGCUGAGGCACGAAAGCGUGGGGAUCAAACAG